GCCUCGGCCAGGGUGCGGCCGAGCUCCGCCACCGCCUCGGGCGGGGGCAGCGCGCGCACGGCUCCGGCCCGUGCCGACGCC
rnacentral:tRNA from 1 species